rnacentral:tRNA from 1 species
AGCAGUGUGGCUCAGUGGAAAGAGCACGGGCUUGGGAGUCAGAGGUCAUGGGUUCGAGUCCCAGCUCAGCCG